UACAGAGGUCCCAAGCGUUGUUCGGAUUCAUUGGGCGUAAAGGGUGCGUAGGCGGCGCGGUAAGUCGGGUGUGAAAGCCCACGGCUCAACCGUGGAAGGUCAUUGGAAACUGGAGGACUUGAGUACAGAAGAGGAAAGCGGAAUUCCACGUGUAGCGGUGAAAUGCGUAGAGAUGUGGAGGAACACCAGUGGCGAAGGCGGCUUUCUGGUCUGUAACUGACGCUGAGGCGCGAAAGCGUGGGGAGCAAACAGG
rnacentral:rRNA from 1 species